AUAACACUUGGAAACAGGUGCUAAUACCGUAUAACAAUCAAAAUCGCAUGGUUUUGAUUUGAAAGGCGCUUUCGGGUGUCGCUGAUGGAUGGACCCGCGGUGCAUUAGCUAGUUGGUGAGGUAACGGCUCACCAAGGCCACGAUGCAUAGCCGACCUGAGAGGGUGAUCGGCCACAUUGGGACUGAGACACGGCCCAAACUCCUACGGGAGGCAGCAGUAGGGAAUCUUCGGCAAUGGACGAAAGUCUGACCGAGCAACGCCGCGUGAGUGAAGAAGGUUUUCGGAUCGUAAAACUCUGUUGUUAGAGAAGAACAAGGAUGAGGGUAACUGUUCAUCCCUUGACGGUAUCUAACCAGAAAGCCACGGCUAACUACGUGCCAGCAGCCGCGGUAAUACGUAGGUGGCAAGCGUUGUCCGGAUUUAUUGGGCGUAAAGCGAGCGCAGGCGGUUUCUUAAGUCUGAUGUGAAAGCCCCCGGCUCAACCGGGGAGGGUCAUUGGAAACUGGGAGACUUGAGUGCAGAAGAGGAGAGUGGAAUUCCAUGUGUAGCGGUGAAAUGCGUAGAUAUAUGGAGGAACACCAGUGGCGAAGGCGGCUCUCUGGUCUGUAACUGACGCUGAGGCUCGAAAGCGUGGGGAGCAAACAGGAUUAGAUA
rnacentral:rRNA from 1 species